AAGUCAUUGUGGAGGAAAUUCCUAAACAAGCUUUUGUAUCUCUCCCAUGCCUCAUAUAGUGACUCGCCCGGUUGUUGCUUGAAAUUGGCAAUGACUUUCUUCAAUUU